rnacentral:ncRNA from 1 species
UUCUAAGCCUACACAUGCAAGUCUCAGCUCCCCAGUGAGGACGCCCUUUUACCUUUUCCAGGCUAAGGAGCCGGUAUCAGGCACUAAAUCUGCCCAUAACACCUAGUCCCACCACACCCCCAAGGGCCUUCAGCAGUGAUUAAUAUUGUUUAUAAGUGUUAACUUGACCCAGCUAUAGAAAAUAGAGCUGGCCAACUCGGUGCCAGCCGCCGCGGCUAAACCGCACGAGCUCAAAUUGAUAAUUGUCGGCGUUAAGCGUGAUUAAAGGCCCCACUAAUUAGAACUAAACCUAAACUCAGCUGUGAUAAGCUUGUUUUAAGAAACACAAAUACGAAAGUUGCUCUAAUCAACCCCUUGAAUACACGACAGUCGGGAAACAAACUGGGAUUAGAUACCCCACUAUGCCCCACCGUAAAAUAUAUAUUCACACUAACAAACGCCCGGGUAUUACGAGCCUCAGCUUAAAACCCAAAGGACUUGACGGUGUCCCAUCCAACUAGAGGAGCCUGUUCUAUAAUCGAUAACCCCCGAUACACCUAACCCCCCCUUGCCAAUCAGCCUGUAUACCUCCGUCGCAAACUUACCAUAUGAAUGCCAAUAGUAGGUUAAAUGGUUAAAUCGCCAACACGUCAGGUCAAGGUGCAGCUCAUGAUGGGGAAAGCAAUGGGCUACAAUUUCUAAAAUAGAGCACACGGAAUGCUGCAUGAAACACAGCCACGAAGGCGGAUUUAGUAGUAAAAAGAAAAUAAAGUGUCCUUUUUAAUAAGGCCCUGGGACGUGUACACACCGCCCGUCACCCUCUUCAACAGCACACAAUACGUUCCUGACAACUCUUGCACUUUAGAAGAGGCAAGUCGUAACAUGGUAAGUGUACCGGAAGGUGCACUUGGAUUUA